AUGACCUCGUCUCGGCUAAUUAUAUCUGCAAAGACCCUGCUUCUAAAUAAGUCACAUUCUGAGGUUCUGGCGGGUGUGAAUUUGGGGGACAUUCCUCAACCCCAAAGCACAGGCAUUGAGCUCCAGAGAGGACCAACUGAGGCGAAAUCUUCAGCCUCAGCGGCGAAGGCACCGGGUGCUCCUGCUCGAUGGGCAGACGGCCACCCCCUGGUCGGAGGCCAUCAGGGAAAUGGUCCCAGGCCCCUGGGGUCCCAGCCCAGACCUCCUCCACUGUGUGACCUUGGGCAAGCCCCUCAGACUCUCUGGGCCCAUAUCCUCCUCCGUGAGGUGGAGGAAGACGGCAGUAACCAGGAGGAGCACGGACCAGCCCGAACUGCACCCAACAGACCAGUGGUCAGUGAGGUGGCCCCCUGUCCCAGUGAGGACACGGGUCUCCCGGGACCGGGUGUGGACCGGGGAGGGGCAGUGAGGGGCACGGCCUCCCCAGCACCCCCUUGCACUUCUCAGCCUCCCAACCCCAACAGGCUCUGGCUCUGAGCCCCCCGGCCUCUCCAGCCACUGGGACAGAGGCCAGCCCCGAGUCCAGGACCCAGGGCCUGGAGACCACCGCUCCUGCCCAGACUAUGGGCCGGGGUCGAGGGGCAGCCCCUGCCUCCCCCACAGAGGGGCCUCCCUCUGCCGCCCAGGAGGGCAGAAUUCUCCCCAGGCUCCACACAAGGAAACUGAGGCCAGAGGUAGGUGUGUGGCCUGAGCCCCUUCUCUCCCGCCCAGGAAGAGGGACCCCCACCCCUGCUCCCACCUGGCAGCCGGCGGCCCUGGGCACCUACCUGCCUGCUUUCUCCCCGGCGCCCUGACAUGCAGCCACUGGCCAAGGAGCAGUGGAGGCUGCCCGUGGGACCGAGAGCCUGAAGCCCGUGCCCCCCUCCUCCCUGCCCCGCCCACCACGCCUGGCGCCUGGCACCUGGCAGCCAAGGCCGGGACCAACGUGGGUGCCGCCUGGUCUCAGCACGGCUGGGCCCGCAGGCCUGCCCUGACCAAAGCCUCCUGGUGCCGAGGGUCAGCAUUCCCCCGGCCUGAUUGGCCCAGUGGCCCCUCGGGCAUGUCCGGUUGCCCGGUGCCAAGAGGUGACCCUGCGUCGGGGAGGCGGUUGGGCCACCUUGCUUGCUGUUAUUCCCUCCAAGGGCUAUGCCUGGGGGUGGACUGGCUGGGGCCGAGUCCAGCCAGUGUCACACCCUGACCUGCCUCAGUUUCCCAAUAAGCCUCAGUUGCCCUCUCCAACAGGUGGGAGUGGCUGACCCUAGGGUGUGCAGCGCAGCCGUCCCCCGGGGGACUCAUUGCAGAGACUGCAAUUCUGCAGUCUCAUUGCAGGGGUCCUGUAAAGCCGAGAGGCAUCGGCCCCGAGGGUGUGCCAUCCUCCUGGACGUAAGCACUGCAUGAACUCUGUCCCUUCGUCCUGGGACAGGACGGGGGUUACGGGGGGAAGGACGCCUUCAGGAGUCCCACGGUCCUGGGCUCACAUCCUGCUUGACCUUCAGGUUCCUCAACCACUCUGGACCUGUUUCUCUGGAAAAUGGGGAUCUGAGUAGUCAGCUUCUGGGAGCUUGUGGGCAACACCCGAGGAAAGCAGAACCUCAUGAUAGUUCUGAGUCUCCAAAGAGACCCCCCAGGACCCCCCCCCCCCCCCCCCCUGAGGACCUCCUCCCAGGGACCCUCACCCCCUGUGCUUGGGUGGGGACGGGCAAUGGCAUCCAGGCCCUGCACUCUGGGACCCCUAGCGGCUGCUCCAGUCUGGCUGGUAGGCCACCAGAGGGCGCCCCAGGCCUGUGCACAGAGUCGGGGAUGGCGGAGGCGGUCCAAGGCAGUGGAGGCCAGCUUCGCCCUCCAACAGGAGGGCUCCGGUCAUGGGCUGGGCACGUCCCACUGCUUCUCCUGGAGCCCACCCAGGGAGGAGGAAAGACUGGGCUUCAGGAAACUGGGGAUCCAGGGUAGGGACCCACCAGCCCUCAGGGCCUGAGACCCUGUGGGCCAGAUUCUGAGGGGGAGAGGCUGAUCUUGGGGCCCCAGGGCAGAAGGGUCAGACCCCAGGCCUGGCAAGGUGGUCCACUGGGCCACACGCCUAACUCUGAGAGAGCAGCCUGGGCUCACACCCACCCUGCUGGCCUGGGCCUGUCAGGGUAUGUGGCAAGCGAGGGGGUCUCUCCAGACCCUCCGAGCCUGUGGGAGUGGGGAACACACAGUCCUUGCCCCCUCCCUUCCUCUAUGCCAGUUCCGCCUCUCUACCUCUGCCUCCUGGAUGCCCCUCUCCAGCUCCUCCCCUGCCUACAACCCUCCGUGGCUCCCUAGGACCCAACAAUAAAACCCAGUUUCCACCCCUCUCCUCGGCCA
rnacentral:lncRNA from 1 species